rnacentral:rRNA from 1 species
GACGUGAGGCGCGAGCGUUGUCCGGAUUUAUUGGGCGUAAAGAGCUCGUAGGCGGCUUGUCGCGUCGACUGUGAAAUCCCGAGGCUCAACCUCGGGUCUGCAGUCGAUACGAGCAAACUAGAGUGUUGCAGGGGAGACUGGAAUUCCUGGUGUAGCGGUGAAAUGCGUAGAUAUCGAGAGGAACACCAGUGGCGAAGGCGAGUCCCUGGACAACACCUGACACUGAGGCACGAAAGCUAGGGGAGCAAACAGG